GGAGCCUUGAAGACAAGGUCUCCAUGUUACACCCUGCUGUGCCCUACCUAGAUCUGAGAGGAGCUUUCGUAUAGAGUAUGAUUCCACGUCGACACCUCACCAAUGAGAAACAUGAUGAGACGCUGGUGGCCAUCUCCCGCCAAUGUGAGGAUUAUGAAAGGUGUGAGAGCAUGGAGCUUGAUGACAGAAUCCGGGAUCUGAUAGCAGGCACCCCAGAGGCCACAUCCAGGCAUAGGAGUGUCCAUUCUCCAAAGGUA